rnacentral:snRNA from 1 species
GGAUGUGAGGGUGAUCUGGCUGCAACAUCUGUCACCCCAUUGACUGCCAGAGUCACUGGCUGGCUAGGUGGGUGUCCCCUUCCUCUCCCACAGCUCCAUGUGCGUCCUUCCUGAAGCUGUGUGCUCGGUGAAGAGGACAACCUUCCCCAAAUAGAGUCGGACUAGUCUUCGAUACAGGGUAUACGAGUAGCUGUGCUUCCCUGCUAGAACCUCCAAAUAAGCUCUCAAAUAAUAAGUCUUUUUUUUUCUUAAAUAUUUAUUUAUUCCCUUUUACUGCCCUUGUUUUACUGUUGUAGUUAUCA